rnacentral:rRNA from 1 species
AGGGGACCUGCGGAAGGAUCAUUACUGUGAUUUAGUACUACACUGCGUGAGCGGAACGAAAACAAAAACACCUAAAAUGUGGAAUAUAUAACAUAUAGUCGACAAGAGAAAUCUACGAAAAACAAACAAAACUUUCAACAACGGAUCUCUUGGUUCUCGCAUCGAUGAAGAGCGCAGCGAAAUGCGAUACCUAGUGUGAAUUGCAGCCAUCGUGAAUCAUCGAGUUCUUGAACGCACAUUGCGCCCCUCGGCAUUCCGGGGGGCAUGCCUGUUUGAGCGUCGUUUCCAUCUUGCGCGUGCGCAGAGUUGGGGGAGCGGAGCGGACGACGUGUAAAGAGCGUCGGAGCUGCGACUCGCCUGAAAGGGAGCGAAGCUGGCCGAGCGAACUAGACUUUUUUUCAGGGACGCUUGGCGGCCGAGAGCGAGUGUUGCGAGACAACAAAAAGCUCGACCUCAAAUCAGGUAGGAAUACCCGCUGAACUUAAGCAUAUCAAUAAGGCGGAGGAA